rnacentral:rRNA from 1 species
GAUGAACGCUGGCGGCGAGCCUAAUACAUGCAAGUCGAGCGAACAGACGAGGAGCUUGCUCCUCUGACGUUAGCGGCGGACGGGUGAGUAACACGUGGAUAACCUACCUAUAAGACUGGGAUAACUUCGGGAAACCGGAGCUAAUACCGGAUAAUAUAUUGAACCGCAUGGUUCAAAAGUGAAAGACGGUUUUGCUGUCACUUAUAGAUGGAUCCGCGCCGCAUUAGCUAGUUGGUAAGGUAACGGCUUACCAAGGCGACGAUGCGUAGCCGACCUGAGAGGGUGAUCGGCCACACUGGAACUGAGACACGGUCCAGACUCCUACGGGAGGCAGCAGUAGGGAAUCUUCCGCAAUGGGCGAAAGCCUGACGGAGCAACGCCGCGUGAGUGAUGAAGGUCUUCGGAUCGUAAAACUCUGUUAUUAGGGAAGAACAAAUGUGUAAGUAACUAUGCACGUCUUGACGGUACCUAAUCAGAAAGCCACGGCUAACUACGUG